UCUGCUGAUGGGGAUCCAGUGAGUCCCAGGCGCUACACUCUCUUUAUUAUCUCCAUUGUGUUGAAUUGUCUUUUUUACACUUCCUUUUUCUUAAGAGGGGAAAAAGGAAUUUGUAGUUUGUUAGAGCCGAAGUCACUGGCCACAGCAUGUCUGCAGAGAAGAAGCCAAAGAAAAAGAAGGCAGAGACAGCCAGCCCAGCCCUCAAUGGUGCCGAUGCCAAGCCCAAAAAGAGCAAAAGCAAGAAGAACGAAGACCUGUCUGGAGAGGAGAGCCCUGCAGUUCAAAAUGGAAAAAAGGUGAAGAAAAAGAAACCAGAUGAACCAGAA